rnacentral:ncRNA from 19 species
UUGAGCUGCUAUAAACAAUCUUAUUUAUACCUAGAAUAUGGCUGGGCGUUUCUACCUCGUACCGUAAAUGCGAGACAAUAAGGAAAUUCGAUUUUUCA